CAGCCGCCGCGGUAAUACAGAGGGUGCGAGCGUUAAUCGGAUUUACUGGGCGUAAAGCGUGCGUAGGCGGCUUCUUAAGUCGGAUGUGAAAUCCCUGAGCUUAACUUAGGAAUUGCAUUCGAUACUGGGAAGCUAGAGUAUGGGAGAGGAUAGUAGAAUUCCAAGUGUAGCGGUGAAAUGCGUAGAGAUCUGGAGGAAUACCGAUGGCGAAGGCAGCCAUCUGGCCUAAUACUGACGCUGAGGUACGAAAGCAUGGGGAGCAAACAGGAUUAGAUACCCCUGUAGUCCCUGUCUCUUAUAC
rnacentral:rRNA from 1 species